rnacentral:misc_RNA from 1 species
UCUCCGUUGGUGAACCAGCGGAGGGAUCAUUACAGGACUCGCAAGACUCCUACAACCCUGUGAACUUAACUAUAAGCACGUUGCUUCGGCGGGUGUCUCGGAGGGGGUUCUCCCUCCCCGAGACGCUAAACCCGCCGGCAGCCUACUAUGCUCUGUCUCUUUGCGUUGGCAUCUCGAGUACAAUCAAACAAGUUAAGACUUUCAACAACGGAUCUCUUGGUUCUG